GACGAACGCUGGCGGCGUGCCUAAUACAUGCAAGUUGAGCGCUGAAGGUUGGUACUUGUACCAACUGGAUGAGCAGCGAACGGGUGAGUAACGCGUGGGGAAUCUGCCUUUGAGCGGGGGACAACAUUUGGAAACGAAUGCUAAUACCGCAUAAAAACUUUCAACACAAGUUUUAAGUUUGAAAGAUGCAAUUGCAUCACUCAAAGAUGAUCCCGCGUUGUAUUAGCUAGUUGGUGAGGUAAAGGCUCACCAAGGCGAUGAUACAUAGCCGACCUGAGAGGGGGAUCGGCCACAUUGGGACUGAGACACGGCCCAAACUCCUACGGGAGGCAGCAGUAGGGAAUCUUCGGCAAUGGACGAAAGUCUGACCGAGCAACGCCGCGUGAGUGAAGAAGGUUUUCGGAUCGUAAAACUCUGUUGGUAGAGAAGAACGUUGGUGAGAGUGGAAAGCUCAUCAAGUGACGGUAACUACCCAGAAAGGGACGGCUAACUACGUG
rnacentral:rRNA from 1 species